AUACGGAGGAUGCAAGCGUUAUCCGGAUUUAUUGGGUUUAAAGGGUGCGUAGGCGGUUUGCUAAGCGGGAGGUGAAAUGCCGGCGCUCAACGUCGGGAGUGCCUCCCGAACUGGUGGACUGGAAUGACUCUGCCGUGGGAGGAAUGUGUAGUGUAGCGGUGAAAUGCUUAGAGAUUACACAGAACACCGAUUGCGAAGGCAUCUCACGAAGGGUUGAUUGACGCUGAGGCACGAAAGCGUGGGGAUCAAACAGGAUUAGAUACCCUGGUAGUCCACGCAGUAAACGAUGAUGGCUAACCGCUGGUUUUUUCGGAUCAGUGGCCAAGCGAAAGCGAUAAGCCAUCCACCUGGGGAGUACGACCGCAAGGUUGAAACUCAAAGGAAUUGACGGGG
rnacentral:rRNA from 1 species